rnacentral:lncRNA from 1 species
UACAUGAUUCCAUAUGUGUUAUUUCAUAGUUUGGAUGUCUUCACUAUUAUUCUACAAUGUAGAAAAUAGUAAAAAUAAAGAAAAAACCUUAAAUGAGUAGGUGUAUCCAACCUUUGACUGGUACUGUAGGUGGUAGGCCUACAAUAUGGCCCAUCAAAGGCAUUCAUUUUGUCUGAAAAUGUUAGGCCUAUAAUUUAAGUGAGGGGGAAAACAGAAUAAAACCAGAUGAAGAUCUGGUAAAAUAGUUCCAACUGUUAGGUAUGUUUCACUUUACAAAAAGGUAGGCCUACAUGAUUGCAGUGCCUGUCUGUCUCCUGUGAGUUAUUCAACCAAUCCCAUAUGACUCAGUGUGCUGGAUUGGCUGGUGUUUAUGACUUCUUGUAAAAGCUGGUGGAGAAACCUGGUUUGAGGGAAAUUCAUAUGAUUUGUGAUGUUUUUUUUAUGUCCCUCCAGGCUGGGUGGAUGUACAUGACAUAGUAAAGAAGUUCAACUGUGGUGCCGUUUAAGAUUAGGGAGGACAAUGUUUUUUUAUGAGCAUGGCCUUAUUUCUAUACAGCAUAUUGGAUGACUGUCAUUCAUAUUCCAUUCACCCAGCUCAAUGUAACAUUGAUAGUGUAACGCCCUGGCCAUAGAGAGGGGUUUUUUUUGUUCUUUAUUUUGGUUAGGCCAGGGUGUUACAUUGGGUGGGCGUUCUAUGUUCCUUUUUCUAUGUUUUGGUAUUUCUUUGUUUUGGGCUGUGUGUGUGUGGCUCCCAAUCAGGCACAGCUGAAGCUCGUUGGUGCUGAUUGGGAGUCACACAUAAGGAGCAUGUUUUUCCUUUGGGUUUUGUGGGUAAUUGUUUCUGUUUUGAGUAUUUUCCUAACAGGACUGUUUGCUGUCGUUUUUUGUUCAUUUUGUAGUGUUCUCUUGUUUAUUUGAAUUAAAAUUCUAAUGAUGAACACAUCCUCUGCUGCACCUUGGUUCCCUCUUCCAGACAGCCGUUACAGAUAGGUUUACACUACUACAUGAUACUGGAAUUUGCCCUAUACCCAUCAUGAGGUUGCUACAACCUAGCCUACAAAUGAAAGUUUAUAAUGUAGAGAGACAAAUUGGAAUAAUCAAGGUGACAAACAGUGCCACAUUCAAUACCGCCUUGCACACUCUUGCCUGCAUUCAGCAGGUGUGGGGUGUAGUCAUUGGUCCAAAUAGUUGCAAAACAAAACGAGAGUUUCUAUUGGACUAAUUCAGGUAGGUCCCGCCCCAUUUCGUUCCAUUUGCUUCCGUUUAAGAAACGUUUUGCAACAGAAUCAAUAGAAUGAAUACACCCUUGAUCACUCGCAAACACGUUUCACUUUCAUAGAAGCCACCUACAGCAUCCUCACUUUGCUCGUUGUAUAAUUCCUUCUGUCAGGUAUGCGCUCGCCUCUUCUCACCUUUUUCCCUUCGCUUGUGGACUUCACAGCUGUCUGUGACCUGGCAUAAAAAACCUCUCCAAGCCAAACCUUCAUAAAGUAACCACUAACCGCUACAAAGCCUACAUCGUUGUCACCCUCCCACUGGGCAGAAAACUGGUUCCAUCAACAUUUUAUCCACAUAGUUUCAACCAGAAAAUGUAAUCUGAUGACGUUGAAUCAACGUGGAAAACUUAUUGGAUUUGCAAAACAUCAUCAACAUAAGGGCAUUUCGUCAUUUUUUUCACCUAACUUUUAACCUAUAUCCAAUGACAUGGGGAAAUUUUUUGUUGAUUUCAUGAUGAGUUCAUGUUAGUUAACAUCUCAACCAAAUGUAAAUCAAAACUAGAUGUUAUAGUGAUGUCCUUGCCUAGUGGAAAAUUAACAAACUAAAACUAACGCGUUAGUAUACCCACAAUACAAUCAUGUGUACAAUCACGCAGUACAGUAUACAGCAAGCAGUUUAGCAGUUAAAUCAAUGAAAAAAAAC